rnacentral:rRNA from 1 species
AGAGUUUGAUCCUGGCUCAGGAUGAACGCUGGCGGUAUGCUUAACACAUGCAAGUCGAACGGUGUCUUCGGACACAGUGGCGGACGGGUGAGUAACGCGUGAGAAUCUGGCUUUAGGUCUGGGACAACCACUGGAAACGGUGGCUAAUACCGGAUGUGCCCUGCGGGGUGAAAGGUUAACUGCCUGAAGAUGAGCUCGCGUCUGAUUAGCUAGUUGGUGUGGUAAGAGCGCACCAAGGCGACGAUCAGUAGCUGGUCUGAGAGGACGAUCAGCCACACUGGGACUGAGACACGGCCCAGACUCCUACGGGAGGCAGCAGUGGGGAAUUUUCCGCAAUGGGCGAAAGCCUGACGGAGCAAUACCGCGUGAGGGAGGAAGGCUCUUGGGUCGUAAACCUCUUUUCUCAGGGAAGAACACAAUGACGGUACCUGAGGAAUAAGCAUCGGCUAACUCCGUGCCAGCAGCCGCGGUAAUACGGAGGAUGCAAGCGUUAUCCGGAAUGAUUGGGCGUAAAGCGUCCGCAGGUGGCUGUGUAAGUCUGCUGUUAAAGAGUCUAGCUCAACUAGAUACAAGCAGUGGAAACUACACGGCUAGAGUACGUUCGGGGCAGAGGGAAUUCCUGGUGUAGCGGUGAAAUGCGUAGAGAUCAGGAAGAACACCAGUGGCGAAGGCGCUCUGCUAGGCCGUAACUGACACUGAGGGACGAAAGCUAGGGGAGCGAAUGGGAUUAGAUACCCUAGUAGUCC